rnacentral:rRNA from 1 species
CCUACGGGAGGCAGCAGUGGGGAAUAUUGCGCAAUGGGCGAAAGCCUGACGCAGCGACGCCGCGUGAGGGAUGAAGGUCUUCGGAUCGUAAACCUCUGUCAGCAGGGAAGAACGGUCACUGUGUUAAUCAGCAGUGAAUCGACGGUACCUGCAAACGAAGCACCGGCUAACUCCGUGCCAGCAGCCGCGGUAAUACGGAGGGUGCGAGCGUUAAUCGGAAUUACUGGGCGGAAAGCGCUCGUAGGCGGGAAGGCAAGUCAAGGGUGAAAUCCCCGGGCUCAACCUGGGAAGUGCAUUUGAAACUGGCAAACUGGAGUGUGGGAGAGGAUAGUGGAAUUCCAGGUGUAGGGGUGAAAUGCGUAGAUAUCUGGAGGAACAUCAGUGGCGAAGGCGGCUAUCUGGCACAUAACUGACGCUGAGGAGCGAAAGCGUGGGUAGCAAACAGGAUUAGAUACCCGUGUAGUC